AUGGUGAGCUUGCCCCUAGAGGGUUUGCCAACAGCUGACUUGAACCACUGCAAAGGAAGGGCAGAGGAUUCCUGUGCUUGUGUGAUGUGGAAUACUCUGGGGACUGUCAGAAAUAACCCCGGAAACUAUAAGGUAGCGCCAAGGUCCUGCUGUCAUGUAGGAGGGGCCUGUGAGCUGGUGAGAUUUCUGUAUCUACAGAUGAAGGAGUUGGCAAAUUCCAGUUACAUAAUGUUUUUCCCAUCUAGGAAUAUUAUGGGAUCACCAUGUUUGCAAGACUGUGUCCUUGUGCAGGAAACAGAAGCACCGACCAGGAGGACUGGGGCAGGUCUUCGUGAGAAGAAGGCGGAUGUAAUAGCAGAGACUUAG
rnacentral:lncRNA from 1 species